rnacentral:rRNA from 1 species
AUUGAACGCUGGCGGCAGGCUUAACACAUGCAAGUCGAGCGGGGUGAUGGUGCUUGCACUAUCACUUAGCGGCGGACGGGUGAGUAAUGCUUAGGAAUCUGCCUAUUAGUGGGGGACAACAUCUCGAAAGGGAUGCUAAUACCGCAUACGUCCUACGGGAGAAAGCAGGGGAUCACUUGUGACCUUGCGCUAAUAGAUGAGCCUAAGUCGGAUUAGCUAGUCGGUGGGGUAAAGGCCUACCAAGGCGACGAUCUGUAGCGGGUCUGAGAGGAUGAUCCGCCACACUGGGACUGAGACGCGGCCCAGACUCCUACGGGAGGCAGCAGUGGGGAAUAUUGGACAAUGGGGGGAACCCUGAUCCAGCCAUGCCGCGUGUGUGAAGAAGGCCUUAUGGUUGUAAAGCACUUUAAGCGAGGAGGGGGCUCUUUUGGUUAAUACCCAAGAUGAGUGGACGUUACUCGCAGAAUAAGCACCGGCUAACUCUGUGCCAGCAGCCGCCGCCG